AGCGAACGUUAGCGGCGGGCCUAACACAUGCAAGUCGAACGAGAAUGAGGGGGCAACUCCUCUAGUAAAGUGGCGGACGGGUGCGUAACACGCUGGUAAUCUACCUCCCGGCGGGGACAACAGUCCGAAAGGAUUGCUAAUACCGCAUAAGUCGACGAGGUCUCCGGAUCUUGUCGGGAAAGACGGCCUCUCCUUGGAAGCUGUCACCGGAAGAUGAACCUGCGGCCCAUCAGCUAGNGGUGAGGUAACGGCUCACCAAGGCAAAGACGGGUAGCUGGUCUGAGAGGAUGAUCAGCCACACUGGGACUGCGACACGGCCCAGACUCCUACGGGAGGCAGCAGUGGGGAAUAUUGGGCAAUGGGCGAAAGCCUGACCCAGCCACGCCGC
rnacentral:rRNA from 1 species